UAGCAGUGGGGAAUAUUGCACAAUGGGCGCAAGCCUGAUGCAGCGACGCCGCGUGAGGGAUGACGGCCUUCGGGUUGUAAACCUCUUUCAGUAGGGAAGAAGCGAAAGUGACGGUACCUGCAGAAGAAGCGCCGGCUAACUACGUGCCAGCAGCCGCGGUAAUACGUAGGGCGCAAGCGUUAUCCGGAAUUAUUGGGCGUAAAGAGCUCGUAGGCGGUUUGUCG
rnacentral:rRNA from 1 species